GCAGUUGACAGCUUACAGGAGCAGUUGAUGGCUUACAAGAAACCGCUGUACCAGGGCUUCUCCUGUCAGGGUGUGGUGCUUCUUGCACGUUUACACCCCUUCUGCCUGAAUGCUCCUUCAUUUCCUGUUACAAAGAAGUGCGACUUCCUCUAUGGUAGUAGAUGCUUCAGUAAUAGAGUUGCCUCAAUCAGAGAGGAUCGUGACCCAUUCCACAACCACAGAUGCCACAGAGAAGUCCUCAGCAGAGGAGUGUGUCACUCUAGAGCCGUGGAUAAGUCCCUCUCCCUUCAGGUUGAAGGACCUUCUUCCAGGUAAGAGUGGCUCACAGAUGACACACAGACACCAAGCUGCCGAGGUGGCAAUGUAAUGGUGAGUACAGUCCUCUAUACCCGCUAACAGGGAAGGCACUGAUCACUUUGCGUUUUGUCCUUCAAACCAAGAACCAAAGUCUGCAAAAAGAGACAAGUAUUAAAACCCAGAAGAGCCAAUAAUCCUCCCCAGAAUUGGUGAUCUCUUGUAGAAGGGUAAUGGUUAAAAAGAAAAAGAUAAACCACAGUAGCCUCAAUAUAAGUGUUGACCUUCAUGUCUCUGGGUGCUUGUAACUGAGAAACAGAACUGUGAUCCCCCAGGAAUUAUAGAUUACAGGUAGUUUCCUUUCUGGUCUAUUUAUUUUUCUCUCUUUCUCUCUAGCUUUUCUGCCUCUUUUUCUCCACUGCCCUCUUUGUCCACGACUGAUGAUUAGUUCAGAGAGAGAGUAAUGUGUAGGAACCCAUAUGUGAUUUUUUCCCCUACUUUCUUUCAUGCUAAUCCAUUCCUCUCUCAUACCUGACAGUGACCCACCAGCCAGGAAAGUAGAAGGCUCCCUUCCUGGGAUGCUGCAUGUGACUCUCAUGUUUGCUAGAGGAUCAUCUGAUGGAUGUAACUUUAUCAGCUACCCCAGAAAGGCUAUAGCACCUUGACCUUUGCAGGCAUUCAAGAAAUAUUCAUUGAAAUAGAUUAUAAAUUAAACAGUUUUACAAUGCUUUGCAGGAAUAAUGUAAUGUUAUUUGAGCAACUGUCAGUCAGUUCUAUAAUUCUAAGGCACCUGUAAAGAGAUAGUUUCCAAAAGAAAAGAAUGCUUAUGUCACCUACACUUUGUGUUUCCAUGCUGGGAAGUUCCUAGUACAGGAACAAUCUGGCUCUUCCUGGUAUCUGGGGCACAGAAGAAUUGGGACACAUGGGACACUGCUGUUUCUGCAGAGUAUACAUUCUGUUUGUCUCUUGGCUGUAGAGGUAACAGAGCAGGCCAUCUCUGGCCCUAGUAUGGAGUGGCAGUUGUCCAGGGUGGCCUGUGACCCAGUGAGCACGUCUUCCUAAUUCAGGGGGAUUGAUGCACUUCCCAAGUUCACAUUUUGUUCCAAGAUUACAUUCUCCAAACAGAAUUAUCACUGGGAACACUGGUAUUUUGGUAUUUCUAAUCUGAAUCCCAUAUCUAUUUCUGAAUUGGUUCUGAGAUCAGGAAAGGGAUAACAUGAUGUUAAAUAUUGACUCACACCUUUAAUAAUAAAGUUCCUUUCAGCUGAAGUUGAGGAAGGUCAUGGGAAUAAUGCUGAUUGGAUUGAGCCUCUUUCUUGACAAAAAUCACACUGGGAUGGAACUCUUGCCCCUCUGCUCCCAACAACUCCCUAGCACAACAGUGUUUCCUAAAGAUGGCAAACCUGGGCCACUGCUGCACAGUGGGCAAUCAGAUUAACCUGUCUGAGUCUGUGUCCUUGGGAUACUUGUUUAACUGGAAUAUUUUCAGUUUAAUGAAUUCUUUGGUAUUAAUUCUCCUACUUUGUUGUUGUUAGCACAAAGAAAACAGAUCAGGACAGGUACUAGUUGGUGAGUGUCUUAGGCCAUUUGUGUUGCUGUAACAAAACAUCUUGGGAUAAAAUUUAUUGUUCAGAAUAAAUUUAUUGCUCACAGGCUGGGAAGUCCAAGAUGAAGGUGCCAGCAGCUUCUGUGUCUGAUGCAGUGAUAUUCACAGUGAAGAAAUUAAAUGUCUUAUAAGAAAAUCAAUAUUAACAAGAUUUUUUUUAUUCAAAAGUGGGCUGGGGCCUUAUAUCCACAGCAAUAGAAGAGUCUUAUAUGAAUCUUAAAGAUCCCAGAUUGAGAUCCUGGCAUUUGCAGUCAGAUUGGCAUGAAUUUGAAUACCACCUCUCCUGUUUGCUUGGGACUAAGAAAAGCUGUUUCACCUCAUCUGCAAAAUGGAGAUGAUAAUGUCUAGCUUGUAGUCUGUUAUAGUUGUUCCUGAGGUGCAAAUAUAUUAGUUUGUGAGCAUAGUACCUGGCCUGACAUAUGUUCUCAUGGAAUGGGACUAAUUAAAGGUAGCCCAAACAUACAUCAUGGGAUCUACAAUCCCCUAAGAAUAGAGGCCCAAUUUUCCCCAUUAGCACAGAACAGACUCUGAAAUCAUCAGCCAUGGGAAACUUAGGAUAGAGAAACAAAUGGGAGAGGUAGAGUAGAGAGGAAAAGAACAGGUAACAUAGACAUUCUCUGAGUUCCCUGGCUUAGCCUGAGAGGCCUUUUCCCAUAACGUUGGUAUAAGAAACCCUGGCCAAUUAGACCAUCAGUACCCACAGAAGGGUCUGGGCUACAUCACAGUUCUCAUUUACAAGCUCACAGUCACCAAUCCCCGCUUAAGAUGUCAGUGUUGUUAAGUGGGUGUUCUGUGAAGAAACUCUCAAGCAAAUGAUGCUUUUAGGAGAAGCAAAAAGUUCUUUGAAUAAUCAGCCACUGUAAUAAGGAGGUGAGGGGGUGUUGCAAGUUGCUUGCAAAGUGACAAUAAAUACGAACUUUCCAAACCA